CCCUGCGCCACCGCCCUCUGCUGGCCUGGCUGGAGCCUGCAGUACCUCCCCUGCUGGCCUUUCAAGGCCAUACAGCGCUCCCUGCGGACCCAGCUGACGCCUCCCUGCGGGUCGCUGGUCCACCACCCCGCUGUACAUACCCCUUUCCUAAACUGAGCCCUGACGCCAGCAACUCUCUGAGCCAUGCCCGCAUCUUGAACCAUGGACUUUGUUCCCUAGGGAUGGCCUCUUGGUUCAUCCGUACCUCUGACUGUCCCCCUCUACUGAGUCGCAGAGCGGCCAGAGUAGGAGUGGAUUUGCAGUGUCAGAGCAGGACAGACAGAGUAUUUAGGAACGUUGGACAGGAUAGACUACUGCAGAAGUCACUAACCCGUACCGGAGUGCGAGGUCAGUUGGCUACAGGUCGGUUGAGAGUUUCUGUUCGGAUCGUCGGUGCAGGGGCAAUUCAGGAUGUAAACAUUGCCUCAAUCCACGAAGCUGGAAUCUUUUUAUCUUGAAUCUUUAGGAUCAGGUUGUGGAGUUCAAAAGGAAAAUGCUUUUAAAAGAAUCUACAACCAUAUGGAGUUGCACAGGAGGAACACAGAAAGAUGUCAAAACACAUUACUCCCAUGGCCUUUGAGCCGUCUCUCAGCAGAUUCCCUCGAGGGAACUGACAGCACUUUGAAGGCCAUGGAAACUCCUUCAACCAAUGGAGAACUAAAGAGUGGAAACUGGAACACUGCAUCUGUCCCAGAAGGAUGAUCAUCACAGCACAUCGUAGGAGAGCCAGCCAGGGUCCAAACAGCUCCUGCCAGAGACUGUUCUGAACAUUGGAUAAGAUAUGGAUGGCCCCUGUGCCUGAGGAUCCCCUGAUUUAAUGGGAAGAGUGAGUGGUGAACAAAUGUUACAAUCCAGGGAGAAAGUGCUAUAGGAGCGGCAGCACAGAGCAUUAUGGGAGCAAGGGGAGCUCCUUACGGAGCCCAGGAGACCAUGGGGGACUUGCCAGAGGACAUGGCAUCAAAAGCAGAGCUAUGCCUCCGUUCUGGGCCAUGACUUCGGUUCUCGGGAAAGCUUAUUAACUUCUCUGGGACCUCAGUUUUCCCAUCUGAAAAGUGAGAAGGUCAAGAAAUUUAUAGGAUUUCUGGGAUGCUUAGAAUACAUAAUUCUGGUACAUCCGUCCAUGGCUCCUGGUGCAGGGUAAGUCCUCAGUAAAUAGGAGGGGCUGUUAUCGUUAUGACUAUGAAUGCCGUUUCAACAGAGGGGUUAGAGGGAAAGGGCCAAAGCGAGAGGCAGGGAACAACUCAAGCAGGUGACCUUCAAAGCACUCUGUGCAAAUAUCGAGUCCUUUUCUGAGCGCUGAGAAAGUGCCUAUUUGGAAAGGCAGCCAGCUGGAGUGACAUUUACUCCCGGUGUGACACAGGAGGCAGAUGAACGGUGAGUGGGGCGCAUUGUCUGGCAGUGAAGACGCAGACACAACACGAAGAAUAAGCCUUCCAGGGGCUGCCCAAAGGUCACCACACACGCCUUUUGAUUAGAAAAAGCAGUCCAUACAGACGGCAGAGCAUUUUGUACAGUGCUUCAAACAUGCAGAGAAUGUGCUCAGAAAAUAUCUGUCGAAAGCCUGGUUAGAGAGGGUGAGUAGGAAAAUCUAAAAAAAAAUGCACAGGUUUAGCUUUUCACCAAACACGCAAAUCCUCAUUUAUCAGCCUCUGUCACCACACCCAAAGCAAUGGGUUGGCUUUAUUAUGUGCCCGCUGUCCUCCCUUCCCUUUCUCGAAACGCCUCUUUCUUGUAAACUCAGCUCUGGUGCCCCUCAAUGGCUACAGGCCCCCAAACACCCAGAGAGCCUGUCCUCCUCCCUGGGAGAAGUGGCAUGUCUGUCCCAACCUGAGUUUCACUGUCAAAAAGACGUUAUUUCUGCUCAGGAGACCUACAGGUUUUGUCAAUGUGUGUUUCAUGUAAAUAUAUGCACAUUCACAUGCACAAAAAGGAGACUGUAUGCUACCAGGAAUAAAAGGAGAACACUCACUUUAAGAAAGUAAUAUUUAAAAUCACUAAGCACUUUGAGGAAAAAUCAGUUUAAAACCUUAAAGCACUUGACCAAAUUGUGUAGAAAAUGCAUUUUCUUAUAAACAUGGAAGGGGACAAUGUGGAAGUUUCAUCAGAAAAUGGGAAAUCCAGCCUGCUGCCGAGGUCAGCCCACACCGCACCCCACCCUGUCCCGAGCAGGAACCUGCCUACCCUCCUCCCUCCAGGCAGAGGACAAGCAGGUGGCAACACGUGCCCACGGGCCACUGCAGUGCCUGAUAGUUCACCCCUUACCACCCGCCACCAUCUUCCUCCAAUCUUUCUAGUAAGCUCCUUGCAAGAGGUGAGGGGGUCAGAGUGUGUGGAGAGGGCGUGGUAGCCCCUAGGCCAAGUGGAAGCCUUGAAUCUGCCAUCCCCAUUCAUUCCUCUGAGUCCAGCAUUUAAAGAUAACCAUUUGGCAGACAGCAAGGCCCUUCACCUGAGGCUCAACCAAAGAAAAGGUGAUCUGUCCCCCUACCAGGGGAGCAAAUAACAUUGCGCCUUCCAAAGUGAUGUUCCAGGGUGAUGUGACUUGAUGUGAUUUUUGCCUUAUGCCCUAACUUUAGAAAUAAACCUUGCAUAAGAUGCAACUCUA